rnacentral:rRNA from 1 species
GACGAACGCUGGCGGCGUGCUUAACACAUGCAAGUCGAACGGUGAAGCGCCUUCCUUUUUGGUGGGUGUGGAUGAGUGGCGAACGGGUGAGUAACACGUGAGUAACCUGCCCCCUUCUUCUGGAUAACCGCAUGAAAGUGUGGCUAAUACGGGAUAUUCUGGGUCUGUCGCAUGAUGGGUCUGGGAAAGAUAUUGUUUCGGUGGGGGAUGGGCUCGCGGCCUAUCAGCUUGUUGGUGGGGUGAUGGCCUACCAAGGCGGUGACGGGUAGCCGGCCUGAGAGGGUGGACGGUCACACUGGGACUGGGACAUGGCCCAGACUCCUACGGGAGGCAGCAGUGGGGAAUAUUGCACAAUGGGCGCAAGCCUGAUGCAGCGACGCCGCGUGAGGGAUGGAGGCCUUCGGGUUGUGAACCUCUUUCGCCAGUGAAGCAGGCCUGCCUCGUUUGUGGGUGGGUUGACGGUAGCUGGAUAAGAAGCGCCGGCUAACUACGUG